rnacentral:rRNA from 1 species
GACGAACCGUCCAAACGUUAUUCGGAAUUACUGGGCUUAAAGGGUGCGUAGGCGGCGCGGAAAGUUGGGUGUGAAAUCCCUCGGCUCAACCGAGGAACUGCGCCCAAUACUGCCGUGCUCGAGGGAGAUAGAGGUGAGCGGAACUUAGGGUGGAGCGGUGAAAUGCGUUGAUAUCCUAAGGAACACCGGUGGCGAAAGCGGCUCACUGGAUCUCUUCUGACGCUGAGGCACGAAAGCUAGGGUAGCGAACGGGAUUAGAUACCCCGGUAGUCCUAGCCGUAAACGAUGAGCACUGGAUUGAAGGGUCCUCCAUAGCCUUUCAGUCGCAACGAAAGCGUUAAGUGCUCCGCCUGGGGAGUAUGGUCGCAAGGCUG